UGGGGAAUCUUGCGCAAUGGGGGAAACCCUGACGCAGCGACGCCGCGUGCGGGAUGAAGGCCUUCGGGUUGUAAACCGCUUUCAGCAGGGACGAGGCCUUAUGGUGACGGUACCUGCAGAAGAAGCUCCGGCUAAAUACGUGCCAGCAGCCGCGGUAAUACGAAGGGGGCUAGCGUUGUUCGGAUUUACUGGGCGUAAAGCGCACGUAGGCGGACUAUUAAGUCAGGGGUGAAAUCCCGGGGCUCAACCCCGGAACUGCCUUUGAUACUGGUAGUCUUGAGUUCGAGAGAGGUGAGUGGAAUUCCGAGUGUAGAGGUGAAAUUCGUAGAUAUUCGGAGGAACACCAGUGGCGAAGGCGGCUCACUGGCUCGAUACUGACGCUGAGGUGCGAAAGCGUGGGGAGCAAACAGG
rnacentral:rRNA from 1 species